rnacentral:rRNA from 1 species
UACGAAGGUGGCUAGCGUUGUUCGAAAUCAUUGGGCUUAAAGGGCGUGUAGGCGGAACCGAAAGUGUUUUGUGAAAUCCAACGGCUUAACCGUUGAAUGGCAGGGCAAACUGCGGUUCUUGAGGCAAAUAGGGGUGCAUGGAACUCUUGGUGGAGCGGUGGAAUGCGUAGAUAUCAAGAGGAACGCCGAAGGUGAAGACAGUGCACUGGAUUUGUCCUGACGCUGAGGCGCGAAAGCGUGGGGAGCAAACACG